UACAGAGGUGGCAAGCGUUGUUCGGAAUUACUGGGCGUAAAGGGCGCGUAGGCGGCCUACUAAGUCAGACGUGAAAUCCCCAGGCUUAACUUGGGAACUGCGUCUGAUACUGGAAGGCUUGAGUGCGGGAGAGGGAUGUGGAAUUCCAGGUGUAGCGGUGAAAUGCGUAGAUAUCUGGAGGAACACCGGUGGCGAAGGCGGCAUCCUGGACCGACACUGACACUGAGGAGCGAAAGCGUGGGGAGCGAACAGG
rnacentral:rRNA from 1 species